CCAAACCCUACGUCUGAGUGAGACAUUACAAGAAGUGGAAAGUGAGCGAAGGAACCUGCGUAGAGAACUCCGGAAGCUCAAUGUCUCCGCAUUGGAGCAAUCAAUAGACAGAACACAAGAGGAUACCGUUGACUCUUCUACAUCUCAGCUAAGUGUAACAGAGCUACAACAACAGAUCUACUUUUUAAAGUCACAGCUGGAGACAGAACGUGGACACCGCUCCCGUUACAUACAGAAAUGUUCCCGCACCUCGGAUGACCUUAUUAACCUUAGAUACAAUCUGACUCGCUCACUGGCUGCAGUGACCUCUGACACCACGCCUCAGGUACUAGAGAGGGAGACCAUCCGCCUAGAUGACACCUUAAACCGCAGUCUUGGCCUUACGACAACCUAAAUGUCAAACAUACAGGUCUCGCUUUCUUGGAGGAAAAGGUUGGGUCAUUGACACAGUGAGGAAACGGCAAAUCCGUCCUGUGAAAUGGGUUCACCCCCGCUACCUGAAGUCCAGUGCACGAGCAGUGCGGCGGUCUGAACGGAAGUGCCGCGCCUGAUCGGUGGCCAUUUUGCAUGACCGGUUUGCAAUCAUUAUGUCUGUAUUUGUGUGUUGGCUGUUCCAGAAUUCACUUAUAGGGUGUGAUUGCGACAGGUUAUUGGUUGUUGUUGCACAGAAGAGAUUGCGCGUUUUGAGUUGAAGCGCAUAGGAUGAGUUGGAGCGGUAUUUGUGUUAAUAGAUGUGGAAAAAGGUCCAAAGGUGAUUACGAGAAUUCACAAGACUAUAACUCCAGACUGUCGUUGACUACACUUGAAUUACGUUGACCAUACUUGAACUGUGCUUAAAGGGGUACUCCACUGCCCCAGCGUUGGGAACAUUUUGUUUAGAACACUACGGGGGUCUUGAUGUC